rnacentral:rRNA from 1 species
UACAGAGGGGGCAAGCGUUGUUCGGAAUUACUGGGCGUAAAGGGCGCGUAGGCGGCCUGUUAAGUCGAACGUGAAAUCCCCGGGCUUAACCUGGGAAUUGCGUUGGAGACUGCAAGGCUGGAGUCUGGCAGAGGGGGGUAGAAUUCCACGUGUAGCAGUGAAAUGCGUAGAGAUGUGGAGGAACACCGAUGGCGAAGGCAGCCCCCUGGGUCAAGACUGACGCUCAUGCACGAAAGCGUGGGGAGCAAACAGG